GUGUGGUCCUGAGCAUAGAGGUAGGAGUAAUCUCAUCAGUCAGUCUUGUCCUUCAGAGAUGAACUGACCUUAAAAAGAGUGGGGACUAUAAAAAGAAAUUAGAAAAGCCUGGAUCACAAAUUAGUAAUUAGUCAUUAAUAUAAUAGUAUAAUAAUUAUUCUCUUAACCCCAGUAUUUCUGUGCAUACUUUUUGUAUGUACUUGAGUGCAUGUUGGUUCAUCCCUCCCCCAGUAGAAAGUAGCUUUGGGUAGAAUAUAACCUCUUUGAGGACUGGACUCUUUUGUAUUUGUCUUUAUACGUGCAGCAUCUAUCAGUAAGCCUGGUACAUAGUAGUUGCUUAAUCAAUACUUGUUGACUGAAUUAAAUAAAUCCCUAUAAGGAUAGUGUGAAAAUAGUUUAUUCCUAUAUUUGAUUCCUGGGAUCCUUGUUGGUUAUGGCAGCAUCUGGUUUUUGUUUUUUGGACUAGACCAGCGACUUCAUCAGUUUGAGGAGUCCCCAGAGAAGAAUUUGUUCCACCAAUGCAGAUCAACUCCCAUCCGGUGAUAUAAAGUCUUAGAGAAUUGCCUCAGGGCACUGAGAGGUUAAAUAGACGCCUCUAGUCACACAACCACCGCGUGUUGGAAGAUUGGUUCAAUUCAGGUCUUCCUGAUUCCAAAGCCAACUCUAUUCAUUUCAUAUUCACUGCCUCUCAUAGAACAGUUAAAAUUGUUAUAUAUAAAAAAAAGCUUGAGUUUUAGGUCUCUGAAUUGUGUAUGCAAGCUAUUAGUAGCAGGAAAAAUUCAUUUAAGAAAUGGUUUUUAUGAUUUGAUCCUUUGAGUCAUCUGCCAAGGCAACCCUGAAAUCCCAGUGCUAAGUGUUUAUAUUUUCUUUAACUCUUGGCUGAUUAUGUUCUGCUUUUGUUUUACUUAUGAGGUGUAUUGUUCACGACUGAGCUCCCUGAAGCAACAUGACCAUGGUGCUGUUACUUCCAGAGUAGCAGCAGUGAUGUGGCAAACAAUCUUGCCCAAAAGGUGACUUACUUGUGCAACUUGUUUUGGAAAGUCGUAACAGGAACUCCGAUUCUGAAGGAUACUGCCUGUUGUGCAGAGGACGGAAUGUUCUCUUCCGUGAACUGCAAUUGAACUUUUCCAGCCUACUUUGUUUGAGGAACCAUACAGAUACACAGGGAAAAGAGCAGAUCCCCUCCCAUCUCUCCCCACCCCAACCCUGCCACCCCAAUCUUUGUCUCUUUUGCAUUGGCUCCGGAGAAUUGCUUUGCUGGGG
rnacentral:lncRNA from 1 species